AACUCCUGACUUUGUGAUCCACCCGCCUCAGCCUCCCAAAGUGGGAUUACAGGUGUGAGCCACCGCCCCCCGGGGAAGAGGGUCAUAAAGGAUUUAGGCCUCCCCUUCUGCAGAGAUUAAGUUCUUCAGACCAGGGAAGAAAGAGGUGACUGGAUUAUUUUGCAGAGAAAGCUGGAGCCCAAGGGGAGGGAGACAGGAAUUGGAAAAGGGUAGGGAUGGGGGAGGAGAUGCCAGAUCAGCCCUGAGAACCUCUUUACCCCUCUCAAAGACUUAGGACACUAAUGGGAAAGACUGGGCUAACUUCUGCCCUUCCCCACUGUCUGCCCAGGGACACCUGGGAAAGGACAAAUAAGAGCUGAAUCCUUCACUGAAGGCCCCGUCAACGUAUCUAUGGGUUGGGCGUUAGGAACGGCCUGGCCUCACAAAUCACAUAACUGGGGUGUAGAACAAAAUGGUUCCAGAGAUGCUACCAGGCUGGUCCAGGACCGAUGCAGGCCAGAACCCCGCUGGGAGGACUCCCCAGAACAGGCACUGAGCUGAGGAAAGGCAGAACACAUGGUCUGCUACUGACCCCACCAGAUCUUCUGGGACUCUGGGCAGCUCCGGAGUACUGCUAAGUCCCCAAACCGGGUCUACAGGUCUUAGCGCACACUCAUGAGGCCACUUGCCUCAGAGCCUUCGGGGGGGGUCUUAGGAGGCAGGCAAGAAGGUCUCCUUCUAGGCCAUUCUAGGAGGGGACUGGAGAGCAGAGGUUAGACUGGAGGGUAGGGGUAACCUGAUCUUACAGUCCAGAAGCCACGAGACUAGUCUCCUGGCCUUGCGCCCCGCCCCACUGCAGGGUGGAAAGCCUGUCCCACUCCAGUCACCCAGCUCAAUAACGCCCUCCACCGUGGGUCUCCUGGGCCCCAGAAAUCGUUCCCUCUUUCCCUCGCCUGGGCACUGCCACGCGGUCUGGGGAACCCGUAGACUAUCGACGGGUCUGGCCCGGGGUUUGCCCUGCCCGUUAGCCCAGGAGGAUAGACAGACACGGGGAACUGGUGUUCCCCUAGUGAUUUCAAGGCUCAUUAACUGUCUCCGACCCGUCCCGAAAGCAAGAAACUCCACCGCUUCUCUUCAAAGCUCCGCAACGAAGGACUAGGUCCAAGGACCGCAGGCGGAGGCGGGAAUUGUCCAGAUCCCAGGUUACGAAAUGGCACCGAGUCGGUGACCAAAGGAAGCAGGAACCCGGGUGUUCAAGGCAGUCCUCCAGGGCGGCGCGGGGGCUAGGCUGAGGCCACUCCCUCCCACUUCCUCGACGCUAUUUCCUGGGAGGAGUUGGAGCUCGCAGCCCGGAGCCAAGGGACUCCCAGACCCGUGCUCCAAAAUACUAGGCUUGGGGGAGGCUGGUUCCUGAGCGGCGCCAGGACCGUUCUGCCAUGCAUAGUGGACCCAGCACUACAGCUAGCCUGGCACGACCUCUAGGGCGGUUCGCAACGGUACUCGUACGUCGGCUCGUUGGUCUAGGGGUAUGAUUCUCGCUUCGGGUGCGAGAGGUCCCGGGUUCAAAUCCCGGACGAGCCCUCCUUUACGUUUUGCUCAAACAAGAGUGUCUUCAAGGAAUGUGUUACCUGACCAGCGCUGCAGGAGGCUUGACUGGAAAUCAUCAAUGUACAGUAAACUCUUUUGUGGCACCAGGGUAACAGAAAGAAUCUCAGUCCCCAGACCCGCCUGGCAUGUCAGGAAGAGAGGAGGCACGCCCAGACUUGGGCAGGACGCUCCCUUUCUGCCUCUUGACUUCCUGCAUGGUGUCUCAAUCCGCCACUACAGCCUGGUUUCGGUUUGAUUGACACCCAUCAAUCUAUAGUUGUGGAUGACAGUGUUCGGGAGAGCCCAGGAACUGUCAGAACUUGGUUCUCUGCAGCCCUGGAGGUACUCUGUCUCGGUCACUCCAUCUGACGAUCGGUGCCUGAAAUACACCUACAGUUUCUGGUCCGCGUUUCUCGGUGGUCGGAAGAACAGAACCCUUAGGAACUCUGCUGUCAGCAAGCCGAGUGUAAAGUCCCAGAUCAAGGAUUCGGAGAGUAGCGUCGACGGGUCACUCCUCGUUAGUAUAGUGAUUCCCACGUACGUGCGCCCACAUCUCGUCAGCUGGUGCCUCGCAGAAAUGCGCUGACAAAUCUUAAAGAUGCGGCUUCAUGACAAAAGUCCUCCCCUUAUUGCUGUUCAAGAGACCCCUCAAGUCACGCUGUUGGGCAGGCCUCGUGGCGCAACGGUAGCGCGUCUGACUCCAGAUCAGAAGGUUGCGUGUUCAAAUCACGUCGGGGUCAAACAAAACAUUGUUUUCCCUAAUCAAAUAGAUUUACGGUGUCAUUUUUAGGGACAGGGCAAAAAAAUCUCCUCAGUAGAAGGAUAGGAGGGGAAUGAGACAAAUGAGAACGUUAUUCAGAAGUUGGGUACAAUUUCAGUUGGGUACAGACUUUCAGCACUAUGUGAUAUAUCCCUGAGGCAAAACUGCACAUGUACCCCUAAAGUCUAUAAAAGUAAAAAUAAAUUUAAAAAU